rnacentral:rRNA from 1 species
ACCCGCUGAACUUAAGCAUAUCAAUAAGCGGAGGAAAAGAAACCAACAGGGAUUGCCCUAGUAACGGCGAGUGAAGCGGCAACAGCUCAAAUUUGAAAUCUGGCUCUUUUAGAGUCCGAGUUGUAAUUUGCAGAGGGCGCUUUGGCUUUGGCAGCGGUCCAAGUUCCUUGGAACAGGACGUCACAGAGGGUGAGAAUCCCGUACGUGGUCGCUGGCUAUUGCCGUGUAAAGCCCCUUCGACGAGUCGAGUUGUUUGGGAAUGCAGCUCUAAAUGGGAGGUACAUUUCUUCUAAAGCUAAAUAUUGGCCAGAGACCGAUAGCGCACAAGUAGAGUGAUCGAAAGAUGAAAAGCACUUUGGAAAGAGAGUCAAACAGCACGUGAAAUUGUUGAAAGGGAAGCGCUUGCAGCCAGACUUGCUUACAGUUGCUCAUCCGGGCUUUUGCCCGGUGCACUCUUCUGUAGGCAGGCCGGCAUCAGUUUGGGCGGUAGGAUAAAGGUCUCUGUCACGUACCUCUCUUCGGGGAGGCCUUAUAGGGGAGACGACAUACUACCAGCCUGGACUGAGGUCCGCGCAUCUGCUAGGAUGCUGGCGUAAUGGCUGU